rfam:Klebsormidium nitens mitochondrial DNA, scaffold: kfl01814, whole genome shotgun sequence.
GCGGAAGUAGCUCAAUGGCAGAGUGUAGCUUUGCCAAAGCUAAGGUCGGGGGUUCGAAUCCCCUUUUCCGCU